CUACGGCCAUACCACCCUGAACACGCCCGAUCUCGUCUGAUCUCGGAAGCUAAGCAGGGUCCGGGCCUGGUUAGUACUUGGAUGGGAGACCUCCUGGGAAUACUGGGUGCUGUAGG
rnacentral:rRNA from 1 species